UGGGGCGUGCUAAUCAUGCAAGUCGAGCGACUGAUUAGAAGCUUGCUUCUAUGACGUUAGCGGCGGACGGGUGAGUAACACGUGGGCAACCUGCCUGUAAGACUGGGAUAACUUCGGGAAACCGAAGCUAAUACCGGAUAGGAUCUUCUCCUUCAUGGGAGAUGAUUGAAAGAUGGUUUCGGCUAUCACUUACAAAUGGGCCCGCGGUGCAUUANCUAGUUGGGGAGGUAACGGCNCCCCAGGGCAACGAUGCAUAGCCNACCUGAGAGGGUGAUCGGCCACACUGGGACUGAGACACGGCCCAUACUCCUACGGGAGGCAGCAGUAGGGAAUCUUCCGCAAUGGNACGAAAGUCUGACGGAGCAACGCCGCGUGAGUGAUGAAGGCUUUCGGC
rnacentral:rRNA from 2 species